AUUGUGGGGAUCCUACAAGUGCUGCUCAAGUUUUCUACAGUGGGCAACAAAUGGAGGGCAAGGAGACUCCUCGCUGUUUAACUGGACAUCUUGGAAGCCACCACACAAAUCCAGCUGUGAUGGAAGAAGAAGCCCGUAUCCUGGGGUUGUUCAUCCCUGAGACUCAUCCUGUGUUGCCCAGCUUGGACUCCUCACCUGGAGGUUGACAGGGCUCAGCACCCGGCAGCCAUCAGGAUUCACCACCAUUUGUAAUGUGCGAGGGAUCAAACUCAGAACCUUGUGCUUGUGAGAAGGCAGCAGCACCACUGAGCUAACUCCCUUGCCUCAAGAAGUCUUUGAUCCAGCAGCGCCCUGUCCCAUACUGAGUGCACGCACACCCCUGGUCCCUGGUGAAGUAGCCGGAUGACCUUUGCCAUGUUCCCCACAAUGCGAUGGAAAGAGCCAGAUCAGCCAGGCCCUCUCCUUUGCAAGUGUCUCCACCUCUGG